rnacentral:rRNA from 1 species
GAGGCAGCAGUGGGGAAUAUUGGACAAUGGGCGGAAGCCUGAUCCAGCCAUGCCGCGUGUGUGAAGAAGGCCUUUUGGUUGUAAAGCACUUUAAGCGAGGAGGAGGCUACUAGUAUUAAUACUACUGGAUAGUGGACGUUACUCGCAGAAUAAGCACCGGCUAACUCUGUGCCAGCAGCCGCGGUAAUACAGAGGGUGCGAGCGUUAAUCGGAUUUACUGGGCGUAAAGCGUGCGUAGGCGGCUGAUUAAGUCGGAUGUGAAAUCCCUGAGCUUAACUUAGGAAUUGCAUUCGAUACUGGUCAGCUAGAGUAUGGGAGAGGAUGGUAGAAUUCCAGGUGUAGCGGUGAAAUGCGUAGAGAUCUGGAGGAAUACCGAUGGCGAAGGCAGCCAUCUGGCCUAAUACUGACGCUGAGGUACGAAAGCAUGGGGAGCAAACAGGAUUAGAUACCCUGGUAGUCCAUGCCGUAAACGAUGUCUACUAGCCGUUGGGGCCUUUGAGGCUUUAGUGGCGCAGCUAACGCGAUAAGUAGACCGCCUGGGGAGUACGGUCGCAAGACUAAAACUCAAAUGAAUUGACGG